rnacentral:rRNA from 1 species
CUACGGGAUGCACCAGUAGGGAAUAUUGGACAAUGGGCGAAAGCCUGAUCCAGCAACACCGCGUGCACGAUGACGGCCUUCGGGUUGUAAAGUGCUUUUAGAGGAGAUGAGAAAGGACAGUAUCCUCUGAAUAAGCCUCGGCGAACUACGUGCCAGCAGCCGCGGUAAAACGUAGGAGGCAAGCGUUAUCCGGAUUUAUUGGGCGUAAAGCGCGUGCAGGCGGUCUAGCAAGUUGGAUGUGAAAGCUCCCGGCUCAACUGGAGAGGUCGUUCAAUACUGUUAGACUAGAGAAUAGGAGAGGGAGGUGGAAUUCCGGGUGUAGUGGUGAAAUGCGUAGAUAUCCGGAGGAACACCAGUGGCGAAAGCGGCCUCCUGGACUAUUUCUGACGCUAAGACGCGAAAGCUAGGGUAGCAAACGGGAUUAGAUACCCUCGUAGUC